GCCAGCAGCGAUAGCACGUUGACUACACAAGAUCCCUAUGGAUCACUGGAGAUAAGCAACGUUAAGCGUGUUUAGUAUCCGGAUGGGUGACCAUCUGGGCAAUCGUGUGCUGGCU
rfam:Asian citrus Psyllid, Diaphorina citri - Florida Strain, whole genome shotgun sequence.